UACGUAGGGUGCGAGCGUUAAUCGGAAUUACUGGGCGUAAAGCGUGCGCAGGCGGCUUUGCAAGACAGAUGUGAAAUCCCCGGGCUCAACCUGGGAACUGCAUUUGUGACUGCAAGGCUAGAGUACGGCAGAGGGGGAUGGAAUUCCGCGUGUAGCAGUGAAAUGCGUAGAUAUGCGGAGGAACACCAAUGGCGAAGGCAAUCCCCUGGGCCUGUACUGACGCUCAAGCACGAAAGCGUGGGGAGCAAACAGG
rnacentral:rRNA from 1 species